UACGUAGGGGGCAAGCGUUGUCCGGAUUUAUUGGGCGUAAAGAGCGUGUAGGCGGCUUUACAGGUCCGUUGUGAAAACUCGAGGCUCAACCUCGAGACGCCGGUGGAAACCGUAAAGCUAGAGUCCGGAAGAGGAGAGUGGAAUUCCUGGUGUAGCGGUGAAAUGCGCAGAUAUCAGGAGGAACACCCGUGGCGAAAGCGGCUCUCUGGGACGGUAC
rnacentral:rRNA from 1 species